GGUAACAGGAUGUGCUUGCACAUCGCUGACGAGUGGCGGACGGGUGAGUAAUGCUUGGGAACUUGCCUUUGCGAGGGGGAUAACAGUUGGAAACGACUGCUAAUACCGCAUAAUGUCUACGGACCAAACGGGGCUUCGGCUCCGGCGCAAAGAGAGGCCCAAGUGAGAUUAGCUAGUUGGUAAGGUAACGGCUUACCAAGGCGACGAUCUCUAGCUGUUCUGAGAGGAAGAUCAGCCACACUGGGACUGAGACACGGCCCAGACUCCUACGGGAGGCAGCAGUGGGGAAUAUUGCACAAUGGGGGAAACCCUGAUGCAGCCAUGCCGCGUGUGUGAAGAAGGCCUUCGGGUUGUAAAGCACUUUCAGUUGUGAGGAAAAGUUAGUAGUUAAUACCUGCUAGCCGUGACGUUAACAACAGAAGAAGCACCGGCUAACUCCGUGCCAGCAGCCGCGGUAAUACGGAGGGUGCGAGCGUUAAUCGGAAUUACUGGGCGUAAAGCGCACGCAGGCGGUUUGUUAAGCUAGAUGUGAAAGCCCCGGGCUCAACCUGGGAUGGUCAUUUAGAACUGGCAGACUAGAGUCUUGGAGAGGGGAGUGGAAUUCCAGGUGUAGCGGUGAAAUGCGUAGAUAUCUGGAGGAACAUCAGUGGCGAAGGCGACUCCCUGGCCAAAGACUGACGCUCAUGUGCGAAAGUGUGGGUAGCGAACAGGAAUAGAUACCCUGGUAGUCCACACCGUAAACGCUGUCUACUAGCUGUGUGUGCCUUUAAGGCUGUGCGU
rnacentral:rRNA from 1 species